GCUUGAUGACACAUUCCUCGCACCAGAAAGUGAAGAGUGUGUCAGGAAGGUGAAUCAGGUUGCUGACAAAUAUUGGGAUCUCUAUUCAAGUGAGUCACUUGAGCGAGACUUGCCUGGACACCUACUCCGCUACCCCAUCGGUGUUUCUAGUGAUGGAUCUGUCACUGAAUUGCCUGGCAUCGAGUUCUUCCCUGACACAAAGGCUCGUGUUCUUGGUGCCAAAUCUGAUUAUCUGCCACCUAUCCUCACUACUUAGGGGAUCUUUACUUUGUUCUUAAGCAAUAAUAACUUGUCUAGUUUGGUGUUACUGGCUUUGGU
rnacentral:lncRNA from 1 species